rnacentral:lncRNA from 10 species
AUUAAUAUAUGCAGUUACCAAGUCAUCAUUAACACAUAAAGCACUGCAGGGUUUCAAUCGAUUCAUCAGAAUUCUUGAAAGUCCUAUUUUAAGGCAGUUCAAACAGAGGCGAGGCAGCUGAACCUGGUGAGGCUGCCAGGAACAGCGAGUUCUGCCUCUGAAUUUGCUCCUGACUCAGUGCCUGACCUUGGGCAAGCACUCAACGUCUCACUAUCUCAGUUUCCUCAGCCAUAAAAUGGGGAUAACAGACCUUAGCCACCUCAUAGGAGUGUCAUAAAUGUCUGCAAAAACCUUUCAAGAUUUGUGCUUGGAUCAUCUACACUUCCCUGAAUGUUGAAGAAGAUAUGCUAUCCAUGCAAUCCUUGUCGACUGCUUGAUUAAAAAGUGGAUAAACUGUCUUCAGGCCCUUGGAGUAUGGUGUCUGUGUGAAGAAGGGAAUGAGGCAGAAGUAGCAGUCAGUGGUGGCUGAAGUAGGAGAAAGUGCUUGCUAAUGAAAUCUUGAUUUUUCUGUGGCUUUUCUGUGCAAUUGGGUGGCUAAGUAGGAAAGCCAUUGGAGCUUCACUGUAUCAAUUCUGCCUUUCUUGUUUUUUGGAACUCCAAUUCACCAAGGCUCCCUGCCACCCUAUCCAUCUAUAACUUUUCAUCACUUUUUCCUCAAAGUAAGAAGUGUGUCCCAGAAAAUGUGCCUUUGUGACUCAGCAACAUUUCAAAUCCAUCUGAGCCUUCCCAGCGUUCCAAAAGAAAUACUGAUUUGAAUUCAGCUGCUUAAAAAACCAGUCUCUAAGCAGACAGCUUGAAACUUCCUUACAGCAAUAGUUUAGGCUUUGGAGGGGAAAUUGGUUUGUUUUUAAUUGUUUUAAUUUUUCAUUCAAUUCAUUUGCCGCCUGAUUAUAUAUGAUCUUUUGAGCCCAAUACUCUGCUAAAUUAACCUUGACUUUCUUUCUCUCUUUCUCUCUCUCUCCUUCUCUCUUUCUUCCUUUCUUUCUUUCUUUUUGACAGAGCCUUGCUCUGUCGCCCAGGCUGGAAUGCAGUGGCACAAUCUCAGCUCACUGUAAACUCCGCCUCCAAAGUUCAAGCAAUUCUCCUGCCUCAGCCUCCUGUGUAGCUGGGAUUACACACGCCAGCCACCAUGCCUGGCUAAUUUUUGUAUUUUUAGUAAAGAUGGAGUUUCACCCUCUUGGCCAAGCUGGUCUCGAACUCCUGACCUCAACCUUGGCCUCUCAAAGUGCUGGGAUUACAAGCAUGAGCCACCAUGCCUGGCCUUACCUUGAUUUUUUUUUUUUGAGACAGAGUCUCACUCUGUUGCUCAGGCUGGAGUGUAGUGGCUCGAUCUUGGCUCACUGCAACCUCCAUCUCCCGGGUUCAAGAGAUUCUCCUGCCUCAGCCUCCCAAGUAGCUGGGACUACAGGUGUGGGCCACCACGCCUAGCUAAUUUUUUAUAUGUUUACUAGAGACAGGGUUUCACCAUGUUGGGCAGGCUGGUCUUGAACUCCUGACCUCAGGUGAUUCACCUGCCUCGGCCUCCCAAAAUGCUGGGAUUACAGGUGUGAGCCACCACACCCGGCCCCUACCUUUGAUUUUUAAGUCAAGAGGGAACAAGUCGAAAUUUCUAUUCAGGUAAACUGUAUACCUUUGGACACUGAAUCACUUUUAGAACCCCAGUAAAAAUCAUGUAUGAAUGACCCACAAUUUCACUCCAACAGGAAGGUGUGUAUAUGUGCACAAAAACAUUAGAUUGUUCACACCGGUGCUAUUCAUAAUAGUCAAAAACUGGAAACAACUCAAACAUCCAUCAACUGUAGAAUGGAUAAAUAAAUCAUGAUAUAUUCAUACCAUGGAACAUAACAGUGACAAUAAAUGAACCACUGCUACACACAACAGAUAUGAAUUUCACAAACAGAAUGCUGAGCAACAGAAGCCAAACACAGAAGGAUACACAUUUAUAAAUCCAUUUGUAUGAAGUUCAUAAACAGACAAAAUUAGUCAGUGGAGAUUAUUCUCAUAGAAGUCUGAAGGGUAGUUGUCUUUAGGGAGGGGGAUAUAGUGACUGAGGUGGGUAUAAGGGGUUUCUGGGGUUUGGUGAUGGUACACCAGCAUAUUCACUCUGAAAACUCAUUGAGCUGUGCAAUAAUGAUUUUUCAAACUUUUAUAUGUGUAUGAUAAUGCUUCAAUAAAGCUUUGCUUAAAAACACGCAUAGUCAUUGCUAUGGUGUGAAUGUUUGUGUGCCCCCGUUCACCAAAUUCAUAGGUUGAAAUCCUAACCCCCAAGGUGAUGAUAUUAGGAGU